CAAAUGGCAAAUCCAUAAUUGAU
rnacentral:snRNA from 1 species